rnacentral:rRNA from 1 species
AGUGAACGCUGGCGGCAGGCCUAAUACAUGCAAGUCGAACGGCAGCACGGCAGAGCUUGCUCUGUGGGUGGCGAGUGGCGGACGGGUGAGGAAUACAUGGGAAUCUGCCCAGUCGUGGGGGAUAACGUAGGGAAACUUACGCUAAUACCGCAUGCGCCCUUCGGGGAAAGGCCGGGGACCGUUCGGGCCGUGGCGCGAUUGGAUGAGCCCAUGUCGGAUUAGCUAGUUGGCGGGGUAAUGGCCCACCAAGGCGACGAUCCGUAGCUGGUCUGAGAGGAUGAUCAGCCACACUGGAACUGAGACACGGUCCAGACUCCUACGGGAGGCAGCAGUAGGGAAUAUUGGACAAUGGGCGCAAGCCUGAUCCAGCCAUGCCGCGUGAGUGAAGAAGGCCCUCGGGUUGUAAAGCUCUUUUGUCCGGAAGAAAAGCGCCGGGUUAAUACCCUGGUGUCCUGACGGUACCGGAAGAAUAAGCACCGGCUAACUUCGUGCCAGCAGCCG